AAGGCGAUGUGCUUUGGGAGAGUAACUGGGCUGUGGAGUUUACUAUGGGACCAGGAAAGGACUGUCUCAAAUGAGACAUUUAAACAGCAACCUGAAGGGUGAGUGGGAGCAGUGAGACUGCGUGUGGGAAGAUGAAGGGGAGGAAAGAGGUCCUGUGGUGAUUGCAUGAGGUAUGUGAGACAGCUGUUCUCACUAAGGGCAAGAUCACAAUGAGGUCAUUCCUGCAGCGUGAUUGACAUCCUCAGACACAAACCACUGAGACAGGAACCAUCAGCACCAUUUGCUAUCAACGUUUUAUGCUCUCAUGUAACUGAUGUAACGCCAUUGAAGAUGAUGGAGAAAGAUUGAAGACAGAACAUAAUCAGUAAAAUGAAAACCCAGCAGUGGAGGCAUCUUUCCACACACUUUGCUGAUUUGUUAUAUAGAAAGGGUAGGACUACCACGUAACACUAAAAAACAUCAGUCAGUUUUGGAUGAGUAUAGUGGCACAGGCCUAUACUCUCGGUACUCUGGAGGCUGUGGAAGGAUAACUGUAAAUUUUGAGGCCAGACUGUACUAUACAGAAAGACCCUGUCUUAAACAAUAUAAAGCAUACAACAUCAAAAAACAACAAUCUGUUUCUUGGGCAUCAUGGGAAGCCUGUGCAAGGAUGCAUGGGAAGGACACUGGAUGUUUUCCUAGUCCUUGGUUCCUCUAGAUCUUCUGAUAACAACACCUCGAUUUUCCUUUGGGACACACGCAUCUUCCCAUGUGUGUAAUCCUACAUGACUUUUUGUUUUCACCCUAUUGGUGAGGGAGAGGCCACUGAUUUAGGGCCUGGGGUAGCUGAAUCCUGACAAUUAG